rnacentral:lncRNA from 1 species
UUCUUUCCAUGUUGUUUUCAUGUUUCUUCUUAUACAAAUCUUAGUAAUAUCAUGACAUCAUUAUGACUAUUUGAUAGGUCAAAAUUACUGUUUCAGGCUCUGUAUGUUGGUGUUAAACAAAACUAACACUUUGUCUCCUUUACUAACAAUUAAAAAAAAUUGGUGUAAAAUGCUUAACUAAGGCGGGAAUCUAUCUUUAUCUGUAAUCAAAUUAAGUGCUAAUGACUAUUAUUUCGUGACUUGGAAAAACUGUUUUUCUCUAUAUAGAAAUAGAAUAACAAUUUAGUCCUUGAGGUACUCCUUGAAAAGAAGGUUUUGCCGGCAUAUUGACAAAUUCUUUCUGGAGUCCCCCCAAAAAAAAAAAAUUAAUAAAUAAAUUAUAAAUUAAUCAAGGAUCAAUUGUUCCAUUUACAUUUUUAUCUCUAACAAAUUCUAAUUCAGAGCAGUGGAUAUAGUCAUAAUUACAAUGGGUCAAACCAUUAACAUUUCCUUAAUUUUGAAUAUCUCAACAGAUUUGAUUGAUCUUAUGGCAUUUAUGAAUGAAGAAUGUGUUUUAAAGCCAAUUAUUUUAGUUGAUUGAACAUAAUCUGUGAAGGUUUGCUCCGAGUUUGCAUCAUUCAAAGUAGAGACAAUUAAAAAAACUCAAAUGACUGGAACAGAAAUUAUUCAGCCUGCUUAUGCUGUUGAUACUCUCUAUGUUCAAGUUGUUUUGAUUUUUGAAACAAUUAAAUAUUAAAUAGCAUGAGUUCUUACUUCAAAGAGGCUGUUUUCCCUGCUAGUUGUUGUGGCCUUUCUAAUGAAUUCUUAUUUUUCUUGAUGAGGGCGAGGCGUAAGGAAUUCCCAUCUUGAUGCUAACAUUUCAUCAGACAACAUAAAAUGGCAAUUUUUCAAGUGCAUUUUAUCACUCCUACUCAGAACAAGAACAGCCACAGAAAAUUUGAAAAGCUUUGUUCUGAUGACAGUACAAUCUGAGUUGUUGGACUGUCUAGCUGAACUUAUGGAAGACUAGAGAUAUCUCAAUGGUGUGAUACUCGUAACAAAAAGAUUGAAGAUGUGAUUCGUAAAAUAAACAGUUAAACUAUCAUAUUAGUUUACGAAUAGGGUCUUCUAUUGUUUUUAUUGUUUUUGUAUUUGUUAGAAUUUAGCUAUGGAAGGUGGCAAAUGACAAUCUGCAGUUUUGACAGAUAAAUUACUUGUGCAUGUCAAGCUGACGUUAAUGACUGUUUCUUGUGCAGGGACGGACUUCUUCAGGUUACAAUGCCCAAACUACUAGAUUAUAGGGGGCUGAGGAAGGCACAGAUAUAGGUCAAAUUCUUGUACGUAAAAAAAGCAGUGUCUAUUCUAUCUCUUAAUUUAUUCUACUCUUGCACACUUUCGGUUGGUGGUAGAGUAUAAAAGUUACUAUCAUAGAGUUUUUAUCUCAUUAUAUCUUCCAUUAAUUACAUUUUUAGCAAUUUUAAUUAUUUUGGAAGUCAAUAUGAAUCUACAUGAACCUCUUUCAGUUACUAGCUUGGAAAAAAAAUCGAAUUAGUACUAGUUUUAGUUAUGGAGCAUAGCUUUUGAGAUUCGAGUUGGACUUAGCAAAGAAUACGCCUUCGAAAAAUGCAGGACAAGAGUAAAUAGAAAGAUCAAUAGGUUGAUUGAUGUUGAAACACAAAUCGAUAUUGAGAUUAACAGAAAUGAAGUUACUAUCACACGCGUGCCAGCGCCCACAUAAUCAUGCACAGAGAGGUGUACAAAUAACAUGAACACACAGAUGAGGUACAUGUAUAGAAGACAACCAUGGCAGAAAUUAAGACGUAAAGUCUGUUCCUUCGAACUUUUCUUUGGGAUUCAACUUACGUGCUCCACCAUUUCUGCAUUGAGGUGUUUUUCCAAUCUACGACAUUGCCUUUUUCUGAAAAACACAUGAUUUUAGAUGGAAAUAGCAGAAGAAAAUCUUUGUUUACCAGUCUUGGUCGCUACUAAGUUGCUGAAGUUCUCAAAACUGCAAAGUGUUACUGUUUCUUAAAAAUCCCAUCUCUCUUCCUCCAUGGAAAAGGGUUGACCUAAAUGUUUCACCAUUUUCUACAUGCAACCCUAUGAAUUUUUCUUCAGAUCCUCAUAAGUUAGUGUCGGUACCUUUAGAUGAGACUCCAUGCCUGCAUUAGUGCAUUCCAAACUCUUAGCAUGAUCCCAGUCCAUGCUGAUACACCCCUUCACAGGACAUGCUAAAACUUUCUUCUAGGGUAAGUUCUGGUAGAUCUUUAGACCUUACCUUCUGCAUGUGAUGCCAACUCGAAGCAAACACAUCUUUUGGUUCCAGGGCAACAUAAAGUAUCCAGCAGGCCGAAGAUGUAACCAACUCGAGUAAAUGCGGAUAAGGGUGCGCAUGGAGAAAACACUAGGCAAACGAAAUGUCAACCUUUGGUUCCUCAUUCUCU